CUGUGACACAAAGUUGAAUCGUCAGUUCACAUUGGAAUUUAGGGGAAUUCCAAUAGUUGCCAACUAAAUAGUUGACUGAGAAAAGGCCAUAAUGUCCCUCUCUUUCUAAGAGUGAAAAAAUAACAUGGUGUUAAUGGAGAGAGAUGAGUCAUGGAGACAGAUCAGAGCCACAGCAGCGUGCACCAGGAGUUCAACACGGUCCGCGUGUGCUGUGUUGCCUGACAACUUUUUACAAGCUAGCUACGUUAGCUGACAUGAAUAAAAACAAACGUUGCUGGAGAGCUUCUUCGGAAGGGGUAAGGGAGGUAAAAGGUCCAACGACGAUGUCAAUAAUGCAGAGACAGCAGAGCCCGAGACUGCCAAAAAAAGCAAGCUUCAUUCAAUAUAAAAUAUGAUCAGUCCUACCUAAAAUAUGGCUUUAUUGCGACUCACAUGCUCCAAGCCCCGUGUGUAGUAUGUGGAGCUCUAACGAGGCAAUGAAGAACUCAAAACUGCUUCGGCACAUCGAAUCCAAACACCCUACACUUAAAGACAAAACUGUUGAAUACUUUGAGCGAAGAAAACGUGAACAAGAAGGACAGAAGCAAGUUUUGAAAGUCACCGCAUCAACAAACGUGGCUGCACAGAGCUUCAUACUUAGUGGCUAGCUGUAUUGCUAAGGCCAAGAAGCCUUUCACUAUUGACGAGGAGUUGAUUCUACCUGCUGCUAAAGGACAUUUGCCGUGAACUCUUAGAAGAGGCUGCGGCUAAAAAGAUAGCACAGGUUCCUCUUUCGGUUACCAACCUUCACUAAGAUAAUUGAUGAAGUAGCGGAGGACGUUGAGGCACAAUUGUUAGAAAGGCUUUAACGAGUCACCGUGGUAUGCAAUCCAGGUUGACGAAUCUACCGAUAUCGACAUCAAGGCAAUACUGCUUGUUUAUGUGCGAUAUAUAUUUCAGGAUGAUGUGCAUGAGGAUUUGGUGUGUGCGCUGUCCCUGCUGACUAACACAGCGGCCGCAGAGCUAGUCAAAUCUUUGGAUGAUUACAUGUGAGGAAAAUUGGAUUGGUCAUUCUGCAUUGGCGUAUGCACGGAUGGGGCUGCUGCCAUGACUGGACGGCUGUCUGGUUUCACUACCCGGGUUAAAGAUGUUGCGCCUGAAUGUGAGUCUACGAACUGUCAUUCACAUAGAAAUGCUGGCUAGCCGAAAGAUGUCACCUGAAUGUAACGUCGUAUUGAAUGAUGUUAUUAAAGUUAUGAAUCACAUCAAAGCACACGCCCUUAACUCGCGUCUGAGGAAAUGGACGCAGAGCACAAACGCCUUCUCUUAUACACAGAAGUCGGAUGGCUAUCCAGGGGGAGAUCGCUUGCCAGAGUAUUUGAGUUACGAGAGACGCUGCAGAGAUUUCUUUCAGAAAAAAAAGUCACCACUGCCAGCACAUUUCAAUGACGAGGAAUGGGUCGCAAAACUCGCUUACCUGUGCGACAUAUUCAACCUGCUCAACGAACUCACUGUCACUUCAGGGGAGAAUGACAUCUGUCUUGAAUUUGGCAGAUGAAGUGGUUGUAUUCAAAGCCAAACUAGAACUGUGGGGACGGUGAGUGGACAGGGACAUAUUUGACAUGUUCCAAACAUUAGUGGAGAUUUUGGGAGAGACUGAGACCAGGCCGUCUUUCUUCCAGCUGGUGCGCGAUCACCUAGCUUCACUGUCAACGAAGUUCGAGCAUAACUUUCCAACCGCCAAAGACCCACAAAAUGCACAGGGAAUGGAUCCGCGACCCAUUUGUGAAUGUCCCAGGUGAACCGUCCAUGUCCGUGCAGGAAGAAGAUCAACUACUUGAGGUUGCAAAUGACGGUGGCCUUAAAAGUAUGUUUGAGGUAACUUCAUCUCUGCCGAACUUCUAGAUUAAAAUCAAGGCUGAAUAUCCUGAGAUAGCCACAAAAGCACUGAAAACGUUGCUUCCAUUUCCAACAUCCUAUUUCUGCAAAGCAGGGUUUUCCGCAAUGACGCCAAAAAAACGCAAUUACGGAGUAGACUGGACAUAAGGAACAUGUCACUGUCUCCCAUCACCCCUAGAUUGGGACCAUCUUGUUGCCGGGAAACAAGCUCAGGGCUCCCACUGAUUCAGCAACAUGCCGUUACAGACCAGGAAUACGACUUUCCCGAAGCGGAUCCUCUGUUCGGCCUACCACCCAGGACAAUGGAUCGGAUCCCAGUAGGCGACCCAAAACAACAGCGCCGCAGAAGGGGCGCUGUUAACCUUAGUUAUGGUUAAGGCUGUCUGUUAUUAGCUAUUGUUAAGACUGUCUGUUAUUAGUUAUUGUUAAGACGGUCUGUUAUUAGUUAUUGUUAAGACGGUCUGUUAUUAGUUAUUGUUAAGACGGUCUGUUAUUAGUUAUUGUUAAGACGGUCUGUUAUUAGUUAUUGUUAAGGCGGUCUGUUAUUAGUUAUUGUUAAGGCUGGCUUCUCAGAUACUUUUAUCUCUUAUCUUUUUAAAACACACAGAGGAUGUAGAAAAACAUUGUCACUAAACUGUAUUGUACAUACAAACACAGGCAGAAUACACAAACACAGGCAGAAUACACAAGCACAGGCAGAACACACAAACACAGGCAGAAUACACAAACACAGGCAGAACACACAAACACAGGCAGAAUACACAAACACAGGCAGAACAUACAAACAGGCAGAAUACACAAACACAGGCAGAAUACACAAACAGGCAGAAUACACAAACACAGGCAGAAUACACAAGCACAGGCAGAAUACACAGGCAGAAUACACAGGCAGAAUACACAAACACAGGCAGAAUACACAGGCAGAAUACACAAACACAGGCAGAAUACACAGGCAGAAUACACAAGCACAGGCAGAAUACACAGGCAGAAUACACAAACACAGGCAGAAUACACAGGCAGAAUACACAAACACAGGCAGAAUACACAAGCAGAAUACACAAACACAGGCAGAAUACACAAGCACAGGCAGAAUACACAAGCACAGGCAGAAUACACAAACACAGGCAGAAUACACAAACACAGGCAGAAUACACAAACACAACCCUUCUACGGGUUUUACAUUCAUAAAAGAAACUCACCGCAUCACAUGAUUUACAUCAUUCUACAUAGUCCUAAUAAAUAUUAUCUGUUGACUAUGAAUAUAUAAUCUUUUAAACAUAUUUACAAUCAAGAUGACUUUAAUGGCCCUUAGCAGCCUACGUGUAGACUAGAUUACCAUCUGGUGGUCAUAUUCACAUAUCUGUUAAAGUUGUUUUAAACAAAUAAAUAUAUGUAUCCAUCCCCAAGAGGAAGACUAUUAGCUGUACUGCUACAGCAGUACAGAGGACCAAAUCACCAUAUACUGUAUAUUCUGAAAGACUGAAAUGUAAUGCUAAUGGGGAGAGUUGGGAACCGUGCUCUGGUUACCUCGGAAUAGAGUAGAUAUGUAGGCUUGCUUGCCCCAUCUAUAGUUCUGAUGAUGUGGUAGGUUGAAAGUCAGGCUCUUGCUUGUUGUAGUUUGUUAUUGAGGAUAGUGUAGAGUAGUGUAUGCUGUUCAAAAGACUGCUUUAGGGCCGAUGUACACAACAUCCAACAAUUUCAAAGAUUUUCAAAGAGUUACAGUUGAUACAAAGAAAUCAGUCAAUUGAAAUAAAUUCAUUAAGC
ensembl:lncRNA